CAGCAGCCACGGUAAUACGGAGGGGGCUAGCGUUGUUCGGAAUUACUGGGCGUAAAGCGCACGUAGGCGGCUUGGUAAGUUAGAGGUGAAAGCCCAGGGCUCAACCCUUGAAUUGCCUUUAAGACUGCCGAGCUAGUAGGUGAGAGAGGUAAGUGGAAUUCCGAGUGUAGAGGUGAAAUUCGUAGAUAUUCGGAAGAACACCAGUGGCGAAGGCGGCUCACUGGCUCAUUCUAGACGCUGAGGUGCGAAAGCGUGGGGAGCAAACAGGAUUAGAGACCCGAGUAGUCCCUGUCUCUUAUAC
rnacentral:rRNA from 1 species